GACGAACGCUGGCGGCGCGCCUAACACAUGCAAGUCGAACGGAGCUUGCUUGUCAGAUCCUUUCGGGGUGACGACUUGUAAGCUUAGUGGCGAACGGGUGAGUAACACGUGAGUAACCUGCCCCAGAGUGGGGGACAACAGUUGGAAACGACUGCUAAUACCGCAUAAGCCCACGGAACCGCAUGGUUCUGGGGGAAAAGGAGCAAUCCGCUCUGGGAUGGCCUCGCGUCUGAUUAGAUAGUUGGUGGGGUAACGGCCCACCAUGGCGACGAUCAGUAGCCGGUCUGAGAGGAUGAACGGCCACAUUGGGACUGAGAUACGGCCCAG
rnacentral:rRNA from 1 species